AUGUGCCUUGUGUGGAUCCGUGGCCAUUGCAUUGUGUCUGGUGUGUAGGUACCCAGACACUUAGAACGCUUGCGCGGAAAGCAAACUCGAUCGUUGUACACUUUGAUGGGCAACCAUCACUGUGUCUCCGUGCCGUGCUAGAUCUCCCCUAGCCGUAAGGCACUUUGAACGCCCCUUCGACGACGAGUUACAAGAGUGUGGUAUGUGUCAUAAUCUGGUGAAGCUUUCUGCAUGUGAUGUGCCUUGUGUGGAUCCGUGGCCAUUGCAUUGUGUCUGGUGUGCAGGUACCCAGACACUUAGAACGCUUGCGCGGAAAGCAAACUCGAUCGUUGUACACUUUGAUGGGCAACCAUCACUGUGUCUCCGUGCCGUGCUAGAUCUCCCCUAGCCGUAAGGCACUUUGAACGCCCCUUCGACGACGAGUUACAAGAGUGUGGUAUGUGUCAUAAUCUGGUGAAGCUUUCUGCAUGUGAUGUGCCUUGUGUGGAUCCGUGGCCAUUGCAUUGUGUCUGGUGUGCAGGUACCCAGACACUUAGAACGCUUGCGCGGAAAGCAAACUCGAUCGUUGUACACUUUGAUGGGCAACCAUCACUGUGUCUCCGUGCCGUGCUAGAUCUCCCCUAGCCGUAAGGCACUUUGAACGCCCCUUCGACGACGAGUUACAAGAGUGUGGUAUGUGUCAUAAUCUGGUGAAGCUUUCUGCAUGUGAUGUGCCUUGUGUGGAUCCGUGGCCAUUGCAUUGUGUCUGGUGUGUAGGUACCCAGACACUUAGAACGCUUGCGCGGAAAGCAAACUCGAUCGUUGUACACUUUGAUGGGCAACCAUCACUGUGUCUCCGUGCCGUGCUAGAUCUCCCCUAGCCGUAAGGCACUUUGAACGCCCCUUCGACGACGAGUUACAAGAGUGUGGUAUGUGUCAUAAUCUGGUGAAGCUUUCUGCAUGUGAUGUGCCUUGUGUGGAUCCGUGGCCAUUGCAUUGUGUCUGGUGUGUAGGUACCCAGACACUUAAGCAAACUCGAUCGUUGUACACUGUGAUGGGCGAGCAUCACUGU